rnacentral:rRNA from 1 species
GACGAACGCUGGCGGCGUGCUUAACACAUGCAAGUCGAACGGAAAGGCCCUGCUUUCGUGGGGUGCUCGAGUGGCGAACGGGUGAGUAACACGUGAGUAACCUGCUCUUGACUUUGGGAUAACUUCAGGAAACUGGGGCUAAUACCGGAUAGGCGCUUCUGUUGCAUGGUGGGGGUGGGAAAGUUUGGGCGGUUGGGGGUGGACUCGCGGCUUAUCACCUUGUUAGUGGGGUAGUGGCUUACCAAGGCUUUGACGGGUAGGCGACUUGGGAGGGUGGCCGGCGACAAUAGUACUAAGAGACGACCCAGAGUCCAACAGGAGACAGCAGUCGGGAGUAUGGCACAGUAAGCGGAAGCCUGAUACAGAAACCCCCCGGUCGGGAAGACGUCCUUCUGGGUGUAAACAGCUGAAGCCUAAGACGAAGCUGGACUGACGGUAAUCAAUAAAGAAGCACCGGCUAACUACGUG